GAAGUUAGCGGCGGACGGGUGAGUAACACGUGGGUAACCUGCCCAUAAGACUGGGAUAACUCCGGGAAACCGGGGCUAAUACCGGAUAACAUUUUGAACUGCAUGGUUCGAAAUUGAAAGGCGGCUUCGGCUGUCACUUAUGGAUGGACCCGCGUCGCAUUAGCUAGUUGGUGAGGUAACGGCUCACCAAGGCAACGAUGCGUAGCCGACCUGAGAGGGUGAUCGGCCACACUGGGACUGAGACACGGCCCAGACUCCUACGGGAGGCAGCAGUAGGGAAUCUUCCGCAAUGGACGAAAGUCUGACGGAGCAACGCCGCGUGAGUGAUGAAGGCUUUCGGGUCGUAAAACUCUGUUGUUAGGGAAGAACAAGUGCUAGUUGAAUAAGCUGGCACCUUGACGGUACCUAACCAGAAAGCCACGGCUAACUACGUGCCAGCAGCCGCGGUAAUACGUAGGUGGCAAGCGUUAUCCGGAAUUAUUGGGCGUAAAGCGCGCGCAGGUGGUUUCUUAAGUCUGAUGUGAAAGCCCACGGCUCAACCGUGGAGGGUCAUUGGAAACUGGGAGACUUGAGUGCAGAAGAGGAAAGUGGAAUUCCAUGUGUAGCGGUGAAAUGCGUAGAGAUAUGGAGGAACACCAGUGGCGAAGGCGACUUUCUGGUCUGUAACUGACACUGAGGCGCGAAAGCG
rnacentral:rRNA from 1 species